CCUACGGGUGGCUGCAGUGAGGAAUAUUGGUCAAUGGGAGAGAUCCUGAACCAGCCAAGCCGCGUGAGGGAAGACGGCCCUAUGGGUUGUAAACCUCUUUUGUCGGAGAACAAAACCCGGGACGUGUCCCGGACUGCGUGUAUCCGAAGAAAAAGCAUCGGCUAACUCCGUGCCAGCAGCCGCGGUCAUACGGAGGAUGCGAGUGUUAUCCGGGGUUAUUGGGUUGAAAGGCUGCGUAGGCGGGCCGUUAAGUCAGCGGUAAAAUUGCGGGGCUCAACCCCGUCGAGCCGUUGAAACUGGCAGACUUGAGUUGGCGAGAAGUACGCGGAAUGCGCGGUGUAGCGGUGAAAUGCAGAGAGAGCGAGAAGAACUCCGAUGGCGAAGGCAGCGUACCGGCGCCAGACUGACGCUGAGGCACGAAAGCGUGGGGAUCGAACAGGAUUAGAUACCCCAGUAGUC
rnacentral:rRNA from 1 species